ACGAGGAAGUAAUGGCGUCUCGCGUCGUUUCGCUUUCCGAUAUUCCUGACAAAUUAUCAUAAAUGUCACAUUACAAUGCGAAAAAAAUUGAAGUCAAAGGAAUUUGUAACUGGCUGCUACAUCGGAAGGCUCGAUAUAUCUUUAGAAAAUGACGAUAUCUAACAUUUACGGGGUGAAAUCUAUCCAAGUCAGAGAAAAUCGGAUAGCCGCCAUGUUGUCAACAUUGACAUCGAUACAGAGGAAAAGCGUGUGUGUGACGCAUACUGUAAAUGCAAACAGGAAAUUGUGGAACAUGUUUACACACUCUGGCUGUAAAAGUAGACCUGGGAGGAAAAGUGCCCCUGGUGUGGGGCUCGAACUCACAACCACCAGAACACUAGCCCGGCGCUCUAACCAACUAAGCUGACCGGGCAGCUGGUUCUAACCCACACACACUACCCUCCCCCCAUUUACCGGUUAAGGCUGGUGGAGGGUCUCCUGCUAUUUACCGUUGACACCAUUAAAGUAUUCUGAUUGAUGGAGAUAAGGAAGUCCCCUUAUUAUUGUCUUCAACAAGCCUACCGCCAAAGGGGACCUAGCAUAAGACCGGAAACCGCCCCCCCCCCCACACACACAUGAUAUUUGCCAGUCCAGGCAAUGUCAACCGCAAGAGAAAACCAGUGAUGACAAGUUUUACAAAUAAUCGGAAAGUGUGGUCUUUUGAAGAGAGUUCUUGAAGUUGUUCAGCAUGUUGUUUUGAUGGAUUCUUGGAAGGAUGUACCUCUAUGAUGUUAGCUUCAGUUCUGGAGUAUAACACCAGUUGUUGCAUAUUUAAUAUCAGAUUUAUUAAAUACAUUGUUUUUUGCAAACAUUACUUAAACUUUGAUAUUUCUUUGGUGUUUAUGUAUGAUAUUGUAGGUGAAUAUCUCUUUAUUGCAAUGGCAAAUAUAUUUUAAAAUAUAUAGCAUUAGCAGAAGUUAUUUUUCACUGUUAAAGCUGCACUUUCACAGAUUGAUCACUUUGACAACUUACACAGGAUUCGAUUGCAUUUAUCAUAUUUUGGCUCGGAGAAGUUUGCUUUGUGAUUUAUAUAUUAGGUCUUAAUUUAAAGAAUGCCAAAAUAAGCCGAUUCUGAGACAAAAAGUGUCAAACUAGAAUUCUGUGAGAGUGCAACUUUAAGAAUACUGUUAAUCGAGUGUGCAUGUGAUCCGGACUCUGAACAUUGGAUGAACUAUCAUUCAAUAUUGUAGAUUUUCGUAAAUGGCCCAAAAUAUAAGAAUAACAAUGAAAAUAUGUA